rnacentral:tRNA from 1 species
UAAUCUAUAUCUUAAAGGUAAAGAGUUUGAUUGAUAAUCAAAAGAUAUAAGUUCGAUUCUUAUUAGAUUAA